AUUGGACGCUGGCGGCAGGCUUAACACAUGCAAGUCGAGCGGGGGAAGGUAGCUUGCUACCGGACCUAGCGGCGGACGGGUGAGUAAUGCUUGGGAAUCUGCCUAUUAGUGGGGGACAACAUCUCGAAAGGGAUGCUAGUACCGCAUACGUCCUACGGGAGAAAGCAGGGGAUCUUCGGACCUUGCGCUAAUAGAUGAGCCUAAGUCGGAUUAGCUAGUUGGUGGGGUAAAGGCCUACCAAGGCGACGAUCUGUAGCGGGUCUGAGAGGAUGAUCCGCCACACUGGGACUGAGACACGGCCCAGACUCCUACGGGAGGCAGCAGUGGGGAAUAUUGGACAAUGGGGGGAACCCUGAUCCAGCCAUGCCGCGUGUGUGAAGAAGGCCUUAUGGUUGUAAAGCACUUUAAGCGAGGAGGAGGCUACUCUAGUUAAUACCUAGGGAUAGUGGACGUUACUCGCAGAAUAAGCACCGGCUAACUCUGUGCCAGCCGCCGCAGUAA
rnacentral:rRNA from 1 species